rnacentral:tRNA from 1 species
GCACGGUUAGUCAAGUGGUAUGGCGCUGGCUCGCUAAGCCAGUCGUGGAGAAAUCCCAGCGUCGGUUCGAUCCCGACACCGUGCG